UUUCCGUAGGUGAACCUGCGGAAGGAUCAUUAACCUUUCAAAUCAGGGUGCGGCGCGGCCCCCGAGGAGCGGAAACAAUCCUUGGGAGGUAUGCGGGGGCUUCGAGCCCCCCAUUUACGCACGCACGACUGCCAUCCUUACUUUACGAGCACCUUUCGUUCUCCUUCGGCGGGGCAACCUGCCGCUGGAACUUAACAAAACCUUUUUUUGCAUCUAGCAUUACCUGUUCUGAUACAAACAAUCGUUACAACUUUCAACAAUGGAUCUCUUGGCUCUGGCAUCGAUGAAGAACGCAGC
rnacentral:misc_RNA from 1 species